rnacentral:rRNA from 1 species
AAGACAGCAGUAGCCACGGGAAUACGUAGGUGGCAAGCGUUGUCCGGAAUUAUUGGGCGUAAAGCGCGCGCGGGUGGUUUAAUAAGUCUGAUGUGAAAGCCCACGGCUCAACCGUGGAGGGUCAUUGGAAACUGUUAAACUUGAGUGCAGGAGAGAAAAGUGGAAUUCCUAGUGUAGCGGUGAAAUGCGUAGAGAUUAGGAGGAACACCAGUGGCGAAGGCGGCUUUUUGGCCUGUAACUGACACUGAGGCGCGAAAGCGUGGGGAGCAAACAGGAUUAGAUACCCCAGUAGUCCCUGUCUCUUAUAC